UUGGGGUACGCCAACGGCCCGGAUAGACGGGGUUAAAAUGAAGGGUCACCAUUUCAAAAAUGAAACUCUAAUUGCAGAAGGGAACUUCAUUUGAAAUGGAGACAGCUUAGGCCUGCAAACUCCCGCCUACACUCCACCUACUGUGGCGGGCCUAUCUGCUUAAAACCCUUUUCAUAUUCCAUCUCUCUCUCUACCGAUGCAUCCACUCCCUCUCUCUCUCUAAACCACACGAAAUCAACUACCAUUCACUUUCUCUCUCAAAAACCAGAUGAGCCCUAUCUCUCCCUCGUGCCGUCUCUCUCUCUAAACCAGAAAUACAGUCUCUCUCUCCAUUUUCCUCUCUAUCAUUCACAAACUACAGGAGCCCUAAUGCACCCUCAUGCCCUCUCUCUCUCUAAACCAGAAGUAUAGGGGAGGCCCUACCAAACUGACGUCUCCCUCUCUCUGCGCCUCUCAUACGAGAACAAAAGUGAAAGCCCUAUCUUAAUCGUAGUCACAGAGGUCUAGACCUUUGAACUAGGCAGCAUUUCAUCAAUUUCCACUAGUGCUGAAGGAUAUCCACGGCGAACCUGUCCACGAUGCAGCUUACAAUGUAACUGAUGUAUAUCAAGCUCCCGAUCUAACCUAGGAAGAAUGUACUACUGGUGUCCAAAUUGUACUUUUUUCCAAAGGUAUGAUGUAUAUAUGGAAGGGAUGAAUUAUGAUGUAAAGUUGUGGCGUCGUGAUAUACACCAAAACAAUCAGUUACAAGAAUUGCAAGAGCAUAUUAUGGUCAAGCCUGAACCGAUGGUCAUUCAAUAACAAAUUGUUGAUACUUUAGGACAUAUGCAACAAUUUAUAUUUUUCUUGUGUGUAGUGAAUGCGAUUAUGUUUGUAUUACCUUUGUUGAAAAGUGUUUGAUAUCACUAGAUGGUGUCACAACCCAUGAAACAAUUAUUGGUGUUGAUAUUGGAUUUACAUUAGAGUAAAUUAAAGUCAAUAUGAUU